GGAUGUUUAUUCUUUCUCCUUCAGGGUAUCUACGGAAAGCUGGGUGGAAUGCCUGACACCCUUCUCGAUAGCCAUACUAGCUGUGGGCCUCCUUUCCAGCAUUCUGUGCAGCCCCAUUGCUUUCGAUGGUCCAACCCUGGUCAAAAGGGUCUUCUCUUUCUCCUCCCAGUUCUUGGAAACACGCAGUGCAUAAGGCUCUACCUGGUCCAGAGAUGAACGGACUGGAACAAAACCAGAAAGCAUCUUCAUAUCUAUGAUGGCCAUGUUGGAUGUAUUGCGUUCUCCAGUGUAACUUGAGUAAAGAAAAAUGGUUUAUUGGUUAUUCUGACUGACAGCUAAAAAGAUACUGCAAACUGCUAUUUAGUUAAUAUCUUUCCUGCAGAAUUCAUAUACAUCUUGAAUUAUAAAGCCUAAACACACAAUUUAGAAUUCUAUACCAGGGUAACCUGAAUUCUUCCACAAAGAUACAGAUUGUUUGACUGGUGAACAUUAAGUUUAAUGAAUUGUGAAAAUGUUGCACAAUAA